CAGCCGCCGCGGUAAUACGAAGGGGGCUAGCGUUGUUCGGAAUUACUGGGCGUAAAGGGCGCGUAGGCGGCCAUUCAAGUUAGAUGUGAAAGCCCUGGGCUCAACCUAGGAAUUGCAUUUGAUACUGUUUGGCUUGAGUUCGGGAGAGGUGAGUGGAAUUCCCAGUGUAGAGGUGAAAUUCGUAGAUAUUGGGAAGAACACCAGUGGCGAAGGCGGCUCACUGGACCGACACUGACGCUGAGGCGCGAAAGCGUAGGGAGCAAACAGGAUUAGAUACCCCGUAGUCCCUGUCUCUUAUACA
rnacentral:rRNA from 1 species